UACGUAGGGUGCAAGCGUUGUCCGGAAUUAUUGGGCGUAAAGAGCUCGUAGGCGGUCUGUUGCGUCGGCUGUGAAAACCCGGGGCUCAACUCCGGGCCUGCAGCCGAUACGGGCAGACUAGAGUUCGGCAGGGGAGACUGGAAUUCCUGGUGUAGCGGUGAAAUGCGCAGAUAUCAGGAGGAACACCGGUGGCGAAGGCGGCUUCCUGGACCGAUUACUGACGCUGAGGCGCGAAAGCGUGGGGAGCAAACAGG
rnacentral:rRNA from 1 species